AGACAUUCAUUCUCUUAUCUUCUUCUUUCUCUUCUCGUUUCUUCUUCUUUCCUUUCUUCUGCUGGUGACAAUUGAGAGAGAGAUUUGACUAUUUUGCUGAAAGAAUCGGUCGUUAAGGAGGAACAGAUUAAGUAAAGACUGUUGCGGAUGUUGAUGAAGAUUUGAGGGUGUUAUUGAUGUGUUAUCAAACAGAUUUAGGGUUUCUGAAAUUGUUGAAUUAUGAGGAAUUGAUGGUGGGUACGGGUGAUCUAAGAACAAAAAGGGUUAUGUUAAUUUAAAAAUGUGAAUUUGUUCCGCUGAUGAAGAAUCAAAACAGUGACAAUUGCUUGCGCAUGGCGGAGUUCAGUUGGUGGUUGAACUAGUGGAGUUCAGUUGGUGGUUGAACUGGUGGAUUACUGAUAAAUGGAAGGGAUAUAGAGCCAAAAUUGAUGUUCAGGGAGAUGAAUCAAGAUGAACAAAUGGGUUCUACUGCCGAUUCAUGGCUGUAAUUGGUAGAGGUUUGAGAGUUGAGAACGAAUCAGAAGUGGCUUUUGAUUGUUACUACAAGGAGUUUGAUCUGGUGGUUGAGACAAGAUGAUGUUGUUGAUGCUGUUUGUGUUUACUCAGAGAGAUAGCAAGAAAGAGCUGCAGUUAGAUGGCUAGUUGAGGGUUUGAACUGAAGCUGCUAUGGGUUGUUCUGUUACAUACAGGUUAGUGUUUUGAUUGAAGAUGAAGAUGUGCAUGAAUUUGUUAGGGUCUGUUACAGGGAUGGACCUAUGGUAUGAACUGAUAGUAAUGAACAGCUGAAAAUGAACUGCUUUUGGUGAUUUGGAGAUGGGUUUCUGAAGAAUAAGAAAGGGGAUCUGGUUCUUGGGUCGAUUGGAUUGUGAAUCUCAUCAAGGAAUUAUGCUGGUACUAGUGGUUCUGGUGAUGCAUUUGGUAGCUGGUAUUUGUGGUGGUACUGGUAUUGCUCAUGAUGGUGAUGCUGUGUUGGCUGUCAAGGAUUUGUGUUGAUGUUUUGAAGCAGGAACUGAGAUGAUGUUGUUGAUUUGAUGUUGCUGCUAUAAGUGGUUACAAAAUUCAGGUGAAGCUGUUGGUGGUUUGGGAUUGCAGGUCAGUUGCCUUACUGUCGCAGAAGCAAUGGCCUAGAAUUCAAUUGGUGGCCGAUGUAAUGGUUGAGUCUUGUUAAAGUUACAUAAGAUGAUGCACAAAGAGCAGCUGGAGUAAAAGUAGAGGAAAUGGUGAUUGCUUAGUAUGGUAUUAGGUUGGUCAUGCAGCUGAAGUUGGCAGUGUUGCUGGUGGUUGUGUGUUGCAAGGUAGAGAAAAGAUGUAGCUGCAGUCAAAUGAGUCGUGUGCUGGGAUAAAUGACUGUGACAAUGGGACUUAAAGGCAUUGACUGUGUUGUAAUAAGUUAUUGUUGAUGAAGUUUGGUGGUACAGUGGCUGAGGAUGUUUUCUGUUGGUGGAAUGAGUUGGAGGUGUGGUUUCUGUGGAUGGGAUUGAAGCUGAAUGGUGUAGGUAGUUAAGAAGAAGUUGUUACUGCAAUGGAUGUGUGCAAUUUUAGAUGGCUCAAAUGUCGUGGUUUGAGAAUGUGCAGGAACUGAAACUGCGAAGGAAGGAUAUUAUGGAGCUGACCUGGGUAGACUCUAAUGUGCAAGUGGAUGGGUUUUCUGGUGGUUAUGCUAUACAGUGGUUUACGAAUCUGGAUACGGUUUGAUGGAAUUCACUUGAUGAUGUUGGUGAUUGAAGUUAGCUGAACUGGUGAUGUCUGAAACCGAUGGAAUGAUUAUUGCAGCUAAAAUCAUAGUAUGUGUUGAGUUGAAGCUGGUGCUGGUAUGUAAAUGGCUCAGGCCUUGGCAAUUAGAUCAGUCAGCUUGAGUCGGUCUGCUAGGUUCUGGUUACAAAAUUGUUUCCACGUCAGCGGGAUGCCACCACGUCAGCGAUGGGUUAACUAUGGUUAACCUUUGCUUGAGUUAAGAACGAGGGUAUUUUGGGGACAACUAACCCCGUUUUUUGAAAAACUGUUAUGUCGGACCAAGUAGGAUCAAUUUGUAACCAAUUUACAAAAGUACGAUCAUUUUGUAACUGAAUUACAAAAAGUAUGACCAUUUUGUAAAUGACCCAAGAUCUUACUAUACUACUUGUAAUGGCACGUCCACGGACGGAGGUCAUACGACUCAUAACAACACGUUGUAUACUUGGGGGUUGCAGUAUUCGUUUGAUUUCUUAAUUGGAUGAAACUUAUAUUAAGGGCUGCUGAAAUUCAAGGGGGGAUUGCAAGACGGUUAAUAUUUCUGGUCAUGGUCUGUCGUAUCUUCCAAUACCGAUCUGUAUCUGAUAUAUCGUAGUUGUAUCUGUUGACACUGA